rnacentral:sRNA from 1 species
CCGUAGCCCUGAUAGUAAUGAAAAUCUUUUUGUAAAAAAUAGCCUCUUUUUUUAAAGUUGUAAAAAAGCGACGUAAGAAGCUCUUUUUAUAACUUAUAAAAAUGGUUAUUUUUACAAAAAAUUGAAAUGAAUAGCAGGAAUAGCU